UACGUAGGGUGCAAGCGUUGUCCGGAAUUAUUGGGCGUAAAGAGCUCGUAGGCGGUUUGUCGCGUCUGCUGUGAAAACCCGAGGCUCAACCUCGGGCCUGCAGUGGGUACGGGCAGACUAGAGGGCGGUAGGGGAGAUUGGAAUUCCUGGUGUAGCGGUGGAAUGCGCAGAUAUCAGGAGGAACACCAAUGGCGAAGGCAGAUCUCUGGGCCGUAACUGACGCUGAGGAGCGAAAGCAUGGGGAGCGAACAGG
rnacentral:rRNA from 1 species